CAGUCGUACCUUCGGGUAAUCAGCCUUUCGGGUGCGAUUCUGUGGAGUGUGAGGAGCUUAACACCUUCAUGCUUUGCAUAUUUGUGCUCUUGGGUGUACUUGCUCGUGUGGUUGGUUAACAUCAAUUUUGAUUAUCAUAAAAUGAUUGGAGGAAUGUAGCUUCGAUCUCGUAUUGAAGUGUUAUAGCCUUCGGUAGAUAUGAUGAUCGAGAUUGAGGAUUGCAACGGAUACCCUUCGGGGCUACCUGUCUGGUCUCUGAUCGUUGCUUUGGUGCCGAAAGCGUGCUUACGGUUAUCAAAGUCGAUGGUCAAUAGGUUAGAACGGGUUAAA
rnacentral:rRNA from 1 species